rnacentral:rRNA from 1 species
CCUACGGGCGGCAGCAGUGGGGAAUAUUGCACAAUGGGGGAAACCCUGAUGCAGCAACGCCGCGUGGGUGAAGAAGUAUUUCGGUAUGUAAAGCCCUAUCAGCAGGGAAGAGAAUGACGGUACCUGACUAAGAAGCCCCGGCUAACUACGUGCCAGCAGCCGCGGUAAUACGUAGGGGGCAAGCGUUAUCCGGAUUUACUGGGUGUAAAGGGAGCGUAGACGGUUGUGCAAGUCUGAAGUGAAAGCCCGCGGCUCAACUGCGGAACGGCUUUGGAAACUGGCAAACUGGAGUGUGUGAGAGGAUAGUGGAAUUCCAGGUGUAGGAGUGAAAUCCGUAGAUAUCUGGAGGAACAUCAGUGGCGAAGGCGACUAUCUGGCACAUAACUGACGCUGAGGAGCGAAAGCGUGGGUAGCAAACAGGAUUAGAUACCCCUGUAGUC